AUUGAACGCUGGCGGCAUGCCUUACACAUGCAAGUCGAACGGUAACGCGGGGCAACCUGGCGACGAGUGGCGAACGGGUGAGUAAUACAUCGGAACGUGCCCAGUAGUGGGGGAUAGCCCGGCGAAAGCCGGAUUAAUACCGCAUACGACCUACGGGUGAAAGCGGGGGAUCGCAAGACCUCGCGCUAUUGGAGCGGCCGAUGUCAGAUUAGGUAGUUGGUGGGGUAAAGGCCUACCAAGCCUACGAUCUGUAGCUGGUCUGAGAGGGCGACCAGCCACACUGGGACUGAGACACGGCCCAGACUCCUACGGGAGGCAGCAGUGGGGAAUUUUGGACAAUGGGCGCAAGCCUGAUCCAGCCAUGCCGCGUGCGGGAAGAAGGCCUUCGGGUUGUAAACCGCUUUUGUCAGGGAAGAAACGCUCUGGAUUAAUACCUCGGGGUAAUGACGGUACCUGAAGAAUAAGCACCGGCUAACUACGUGCCAGCCGCCGCAGUAACAC
rnacentral:rRNA from 1 species